rnacentral:rRNA from 1 species
GUGCCAGCAGCCGCGGUAAUACGUAGGGUGCGAGCGUUAAUCGGAAUUACUGGGCGUAAAGCGUGCGCAGGCGGUUUUGUAAGUCAGAUGUGAAAUCCCCGAGCUCAACUUGGGAACUGCGUUUGAAACUACAAGACUAGAAUAUGUCAGAGGGGGGUAGAAUUCCACGUGUAGCAGUGAAAUGCGUAGAGAUGUGGAGGAAUACCAAUGGCGAAGGCAGCCCCCUGGGAUAAUAUUGACGCUCAUGCACGAAAGCGUGGGGAGCAAACAGGAUUAGAAACCCCCGUAGUCC